UAUUUUAAUUUUUAUUGAAAUGGUGCCGUUUUUAUUCUUCGAUACAAACCCUUUUCUUUCUCAAACGGCACUAUUUUUCCCAACAAUGGCUGAUAUCAUUUCCCUCGAUUCCCUUUUCUUUCUCAGUCUAUUCUUUGCUUGACUAAAAUAUACAAACCUGUUCUUCUAUUUUAUACCCCAAAAUCCUCUCAGUUCUGCUCUACAAAUAUAUUACCUUCCCCAUCCACAUUAUUUGAUUUCUCAAAACCCUAAACACCCACUGUGCCCCCCUUUCCUCAGAGGUUGUAACUGAGCAACCGGCGCCUAGCCACUUUACCCAACAGCGAACUCACUCCCCAACCUCCAUGAGUCUUAGCAACUAAAGAUCAGCAAAAUAAGGAGUUGGCCAAAAGACCAAAGAAAUAAAGUUGGAGCAAAUGGACCAUUAAGAUUGUCAAACAUUAAGGAAAAUAUCAAUUGUCUGCUUGGCACAUAGAGACAGGUGAGCCCUAGUUGGUGGACUUGGAGCUGGGCGGGAUUCGGAGUGGCCACAUGUUUUCUGCAAAUUCGUUUUCUUCUGGUUAAAGCAUUGAAGAACAUUGGGGUUGAGCAAGAGGCGUUUUGCGAUUAUUCGUUUGGUGCUUGGAUCUCGGAAGCAUUCAGCUACAAUCUCGUUACAGGAAAUCCCCAGGCUUAGAUGAAUCGAGGUGACGGAGGACUUGAAGGUGGCCACUCAACGUAGUUAACUUAUUUAACAUUCUAUAAUUUAGAUUUUAUUUGAUAUUAGGUUUCCGUUAUGUAAUAAGGCCUUUUUAAAGUUUAUUUUAAUUUGGGAAUUUAAUUACUUUAA